UACGGGGGGGGCAAGCGUUGUUCGGAAUUACUGGGCGUAAAGGGCUCGUAGGCGGCCAACUAAGUCCGACGUGAAAUCCCCAGGCUUAACCUGGGAACUGCGUCGGAUACUGGAUGGCUUGAAUUCGGGAGAGGGAUGCAGGAUUCCAGGUGUAGCGGUGAAAUGCGUAGAUAUCUGGAGGAAUACCGGUGGCGAAGGCGGCAUCCUGGACCGACAUUGACGCUGAUGAGCGAAAGCGUGGGGAGCGAACAGG
rnacentral:rRNA from 1 species